rnacentral:lncRNA from 10 species
CUGAGUGGCCCAAGGUGAGCUCUGCUGAGGAGAGAGCUGCCCUGCCUACCCCUCCCCUGCACUGCCUGUCUGAGGUCACAGAAGGAGCAGGAGAAAGGCAGCAGGCAUCUUAGGUGGUAAAGCCACUCAGUGAGCCACAGCAGCGAGGCGAGGAUGGUGGCUCCCUCUUUCUUUCGGAGGUGCAUACAUUCAACAAAUAACUACUCAAUGCCCACCAUGCCCAGUCCUGGGGCCAGGCUCUGGUGAUGCGGCCAGGAGCCCGGCAGACAGUGUGCUGCCUGCAUGGAGUCUACAGUCCUGUGUGGAGAUCAAUGUUGAACGGGGAAAUGAAACAGAAAACUGGCCAAGUAGAGGCUGAUAAGCGUCAUCCAGCAAAGCAAUGAACAGGCAGGUGGAGGCUCGGGAGGGCUGGGCAGGGCUGCUGCAGAUGGGCAGGGCUCUGGGCACUCGGCUGGGCAGGAGCCUGGGCAGUGGGGGGACUGGCUCCCAACACAGCCACUCCCCAACCACUCUUGGCUUCUCUGCUUCCUUCCUUCUCUCCCUGCCUCCUUCCCACACCUAUGCCCAGGUGCUCCUGUAGCUCUGGCUUGCGUAGGGACACUGCCAAGUGGCCCAUCCCCUUCAUUUCGUAGUCCAGAUGCUCUGACAGUGACCCCAGGUGACCGCCCAUGCAUCGCCUGUCCUGGUGGGGGCCAUCCUGUGCCAUCAUUGGGGGGGGGGUGCAGUGUGCAUGACACGGCACAGCAUGGCUCAUAGCUGCCCAGCACCAGGGGCUGAGGGGGUGAUGGGCAUAGCAGUGAGCAUUCCAUCUGGGAUUGAGUCCUGCUUGCCUCUGUCAGGGGAUGUCCUUAGGCAAGUCCCUUAACAUGCAUGUGCCUCAGUUUUGUCACCUGUAGCCCAGUGCCUCAUGGUGCCAAGGAGGUCACAAGCAUGAAGCCCCUGGCAGGGUGUGCCGGGCACGUGUGCACAUGCCCCCUGGAGGGGAUUCAUCAUCGCGGGCGGAGCUCUGCAGUUCCAGCCUCCUGAGGGUCCUGAUGCCUCACGAGGCCAAGAGGCAAAGGGUUUUGUAACUUACAUAACCGCAGAGAAAGGCAAGGUUGCUGCUCACAAUGAUGCUUUCACAGGGCGGCUCUGGGACGGCAUCCUCACCCGACUAUAUGGAAUUCCACAUCCUUUCCGAAUCUUGGUGUUACACAAUAGUCACUGAGAUAUCAUGUACCCCAUUAACGUUGAGACUUUUAUGUAUUUACAAUUCAGCUUAAAUUUUUACCCAGAGAAGUUUUCAAAAUGUAACAUGUGUUAGUCACUGUGUGAAUUGCGAAACCAAGGAAAUAUCUCCAAAGUGCUGGCCUUGACAAUGUAAUCUGGCAAGGCUUGGGGAGGAAUAAAAAUAACACUUCUCAGCAUCGCCGUCUCUGAGGGCAGGAGUGAUCUGGAGCCCUCCCCAAGCCCACAGGUAGUCGGGCGGCAUGUGCGGGCCUGGGGGGCCCCACUGGGGUCUUCUCUCCUCUUCCCCGGCCCCUCCCCGAGGCCAGGACAAGUCCUGCCUGCCCUGAACGGGGGCGGCUGAGCCCAGGUUGGGGUGGUGGUGAGACAGGGAGACUGGGGAGCUGGGCACCCUGAUGGGGGUUCUGGGCCUGCCACUCAUCAGCCUGGAGGUCCGGGGCUUUUCCCCAACCCCCUGUGCACGGAAAGGUUUAGGGGCCAUGCCCCAGGUGGCCACAGCGACGGGAAGCUCCCUGGCUGCCUCAAAGGGCUGUUCUGUGGGGGGACCUGGUCCAGGAUGAUGGAGGGGAGGCAGCAACUGGACUUUUCCCCUUGCAGCUGUAAGGAUAGCUUGAUUUUUCUAAGGACAACAACCCUGUGUCUCCCCACUGAGUUACAAGCCCGCAGGUGGCUUGAUGAACAUGUGGUUUCUGGAUGUGACAUGAAAGUUAGCAUUUGCGCGCUCUUUGGUUUCCCUGGGUUUGUUUUUCUUGCUCUUACAGUCCUGAACUAUUCCCAAUCGUGUUUAUGUUGAGGCAGAAGACAUGGCUGUGGAGUGUCGGUGCACCAGGGUCUGCCGGGUCCCCGCCUCCCCAUCCUUCCAAGAGGCACCAGCUGCAAGGCACGUGCAUGUGCCCUCCUGACCCCCCGGUCCCCAAAGAGCCUGCUCCCGUCACUCCAGGCAGGCACUGUUGCUGGGAUUUCAAGGCAGCUGAGUGCAGAGCCCACUGCAGAGGCAUCAGCCCCUCCCAGGCCUCUAGGAAACCUGCUCCUCCCCUCCCUCCACAGGCAUCUGCUUACAGCGCCAGCGGUGCCUCGUGCUCCACCUGGAGCACCACUGUCUGUCAGGGACACGGGCUCCCAGAGGGCUGCACGUGAAUGAUUUCCGACCCUCACAACAGCCAGGAAGUAGGGACUGGGAUUGUUCCCAUUCUGUAGAUGAGAAGACUGAGGCUUGGGAUAACGUGCUUGCCCAAGUUGGCAUGGGCAGUACAAGACAAAGCUGGGGUUGCAAAUGAUCACGCUUCCUAUUCUGAAUAUUUCUUUUUCUGCCACCUUCUCCUCUGAGUGCUGGCUUUCCCUACUUACCAAGCCCCCAGCUGCUCACUGCGGUGCCAGAGCACCCAAGAGCCUCCUCUGGCAGUGCCAUGGCCCACAGCACACUCCCCUUGGCUCUAUCAGGCCUCCCUUUUGGCUUGAGUGCCACCCACUCACUCCUCUCCUGCUUUCUGGCAUCGUUAUUUAAUUGUCCAACCCUGGUCUGCUCAGUUAGACCGUAAACUCUGAGAGGACGAGGAGUCUUCGCCGGCUGCCCCCCGGGCCUGGCCUGGGGCUGCCACGUAGCUGAAUCUCAGCCACACUUGCUGUAGAAUGAUUUGUUAUUAUUCUCUGAGGCUGGGUUUCCACGUGGCUGGGCACAGGAGGACAGAGUCCCCCUCCCCGUCCAGGUCCUUGGCUGGCCAGCAUUUCAAAUGAUAUUGUUUCAUAUUAAAUUAUUUUAAAUUCCAUGGACCCUGGUUUCACAAUCAAAUAAUUCGAUCUUGUUUACAAAUGGAAUUUUUAGUUUUUGACGGUUUCUUGCUUUGCUGGGCUGGACGGUCAGUGAAUGCGUGUCCUCCCGUGCCCUCCAGUCCAUCUCUGUUGCCUUCCCCGGGAUGCCGUGGAGGCCGGGAACCGUCCCCAGGAGUGGGGACGUGGUCAGGAGGGUGGGGUCAGGCAGCCCUGUGCAGGCAGACAGCUCACAGUGCUCGGGGCCUGGAGGCGGGGGCGUUCUCUGCUUGCCCUCUUCCAGCUCUAGACAUGAGAAAACCCACAAAGAACAGAAUUGGAAGGGAUCUUUGACACACGUGAUUCCAACAUCCCCUUUUACAGUUAGGAAACUGAGGCACAAGAUCCUGGUUCUUGGGGUUGGGCCUUGGACCCAGCACUGGGUCUUUGCACAGCCUCCUCAGGACUGAUCCACACUUUGUUCUCUUCCCCACCAACCCCAUCACUUCCCGUUAGGUGCCACUUACUGCUUUCACCUACCGAGACAGAGAGAGGGAAAAGUGUGACCUCUGACCUCUAGGAGCUAGGAACCCAGUGUUGGGAGGGGAGCUGCGGAGGAGGAGACAAAGGAGGCACAAUGAGGUGGACCCUACGGGGUUGGGAGGAGCUUGGAAGGCAGUUCAGAAAGGACACGUAGGAGAAGGCAGGGUGGGACUGUGGGACAGCAGGCCGGGCGCAUCCAGCGGCGUUUGCAAAGCCGGAGAAGUGGCCAAGCUCAGUGGCUGUGGCCAGAUGCCAUUUGUGGCAGUUGAUGAGAAUCUUGUGACUAUUUUAACCGAUGUGUUAAACUUCACUCUCCCCCUGUCAGUCUCCUUGUCACCUUGGAGAAUGUUAUUAGUCAAGGUUCUCCAGAGAAACAGAACCAACAGAAUGUACACACAUGCACACACAUACACAUGCACACACACACACAUACACACGCACACACACACACACACAAACAGGGAUUUAUUGUAAAGAACUGGCUCCUGGAAUAACUGAAUUGAUAAGUCCCAAGAUUUUCAGUCAGCAAGCUGGAGACCCAGAAGAGGCUACUAGGGACUAGACAUGUCCCCCCAAAAUUCAUAUGGUGGACCCCAACCUCCAAUGUGAUGGUCUUAGGAGGUGGGGUGUUUUGAAGGUGAUUAGGUCAGGAGGGUGGAGCGCUAAUGAACGAAAUUAGUGCCCUUAUAAGAAGAGACAGGGCAGCUCUCUCUCUCUGAUCUCUGUCACAUUAGGACGUAGAGAGAGGAAGGCCAGCAGUAAGUGGGCCCUCACCAAAAUCAAAUUGGCAGCACCGUGGUGCUGGACUUCCAGCCUCCUGAAUGGUGGGAAAUGAAUAUUUGAUGCUUAAGCCACACAGUCUACAGCAGCCCGAGCUUAGACAGAGCGGACGUUUCAGUUCAAGUCCAAAGGCAGGAAAAAGCUAGACAUUCAGCUCAAAGGCUGGCAGGCAAGAGGAAUUCUAUCUUACUCAGGGGACGGGACCCCCUUUGUCCUAUUCAGGCUGUCAACUGAUUGGAUGAGGCCCACCCAUAUUAGGGAGGGGAAACUGCUUUACCUGGCCCACUGAUUCCAAUGUGAGUCUCAUCCCCAAGCCCCUCACAGAAACACCCAGAGUGAUGUCUGGUCAAAUAUCUGGGCGCUGUGGCCCCGCCAAGUUGACACUGAAAUUAACCCUCGCAGAGGCCGCCUCUUUAUCACGGGACACAUGCUUGGAGCCCCUCUUCUGGAACUUUCUCUAAGCGAGUGACAGUAUGGGGCAGAUGGGUGUCAUUGCUCUGUGGUCACUUGAUGGGUGACCUGGGUUGGCCCUGUGUACCUACCCACUGGGCUUGGCUCAGAAUGGCAUCCUGCUGUUUCCACAAGUCAGCUGGCUCUCCAGGGUCAGGAUGGAACCUGCUGAGGAGAUCACAGAUGGCCCUGACUCCACACGCUGCCCCAGAGGGCCCCAAGGCAGGCAUCUGAGCCAGCCCCGGCUGCAGAGGUUGACUCAGGAAAGCACCAGGGAAAGUUGGUUGUUAAUAUCCCAGUCCAAUUUUUUUUGACUGGGCCUAAAGGCAGGGACUUCCUUCUAUAAAAUCUGGGAGCUGAGUGCAGGGCAGGCCUGACAAGGCGUGAGGAGCUGCCUGUGGACUUCGGCUCUCCCAGUGAGUCCAGGAGCUGCCCUGGGCCCUGGCGGCCCCUCCUCAUCCCCACCUCUCUGCUGCACCACUAUGGCCUCAAGGUCCCUGCACUGCCUCAUAAAGCUGUCCCCAAGUCAGGCUCCUGUGAGCGCGCCGGGCAUCAGAACUCUGGCUGGUGGACCCACAGAGGCCCGGGGUAAUAGCCAUGAGAAGAACAGGCCACCACGCUCAGACUGGGAAGCACCCAGCCUGCGGGAUGGCCAGAGACACUCAUCCAGGGCCAUGAGAGUGUGAAUCAGUCGAGUACAAUAUGCAUAACCAGUGUGGCCAGAACCGGUGCUUUGAGGUGUCUAACUCCUGGUGUCCUACCAUCCCAACACUGUUGAUUAAUGGCGAAAGAUGGGGCAUUGGGGAGGUCUGUGUCUAUGCUUGGUGGCACCUAAGAAAGAGCAAGGCAUUUAUCUGCAUGGAUUGAGAUAGACAGGUCUCUAAAAUAAACAAGGCAAAGAACGCAAGAGGCUGAACCAAAGUAUGAUCCAUUUGGGGCUUAACAAAUAGAUAGUAUAGGCAGCGCGGUGGCUCACGCCUGUAAUCCCAGCACCUUGGGAGGCUGAGGUGGGCAGAUCACCUGAGGUUGGGAGUUCCAGACCAGCCUGAGCAAUAUGGUGAAACCCUGUCUUUACUAAAAAUACAAAAAUUAGCUGGGCAUGGUGGUGCACGCCUGUAAUCCCAGCUACUCAGGAGGCUGAGGCGGGAGAAUCGCUUGAACCCGGGAGGUGGAGGUUGCAGUGAGCUGAGAUCAUGCCACUGCACUCCAGCCUGGGUGACAGAGGGAGACCCUGUCUCAAAAAAAAAAAAAAAAAAUAGAUGGGGUAGAUGCUUUUGGAAGAAUAUGCAGUCACUGCUCACACCAGCAUGGAACAAGUGGACUGGGGUUACUGCCUGGCGAGUCUCUUUCAGGUCCCUGAAUGCAGUUAACUCAGCGAGUCCUGAGUUCCCCAGGAGGUGGGCAUUCCCAUCUUACCCACGUUGCAGAUGAAGACACUGAGGUAUUGGGAGAACCUGCCCAGGUGAUACAGGUAGUAUGUGGCGGUUGGGGGAUGUGAACUUGAGCUCCUGACCAACUCUGCUGCAUGGGCUGACAACUCCGGCUUCUCCGGGAGAGGGGCAGGGGCUGAGGUGGGGCUUUUUUGUUUUUGUUUUUGGCCUUUCUGAGUCCUCUGUGCUUUCUUCCCAGGUGCAUAGAUGACUUACUUUCAGAAAAUGUCAACAGGGUGCUCUGCAGAGGGGCAUGGGCUUUUAUGCCUUUAUUAUGCUUUUCUGUAUUAAAAGAAAAAUACAGUCAUGUGAUUUUAGAAACUCAACCCAUGGAAGAGAGAAUACUGGGUCUGUAGGAAAUCUGCAAAGUGGGAAAGAUACUUCUGGGCUUGGUGGUGGCACCUUGGAGCCUGCUUACGGAAAUCACCUCUCGUUCCCGUGAUGCUGAAAGCAGAAUGCUGGACAUGGAAGAACCGCGGUACUCGAGCUUCGUCUGCUGCCCCACACCCCACUGGCUGUUGCAAGAGUGACGUUGCCAUUGGUGACUGCAGGUCUCCCAGCAGCCUGGUGCAGAGAGGCCACUUCAGGCUCGAACAGAGGCCCGGGUUUCCACGGGAGACAGCAGAGCCACGGUGUAGCAGGCAUCCAGCUCUCCCCCGAUCAGUUCCGUGACUUGUCGGAAGGCCCUCCCUCCCGGUCAGACGAAGAAAGGACUGGUGGCCUCUGGGGAUCCUGAGCCUGUCUCCAUGGGAACCAGCUCACCCACCCCCUCUCUGAGUUCAAGGUUCAGCUGGACCUGGUGCCUCCAAUGACGUCACCAAGUCUGUCUGUCCAUCUGUCUGAGUUCAGCUUCCUCCAGGUCUUCGUUCUCCAGCAGGCCUUCUCCUCAAAGUGGCCAGCCCCUUGCUGCAGCCACACUGGCCUCAGUUACACUGGCUCCUUCCUGCUCCUCAUCUGUACAGGGCCAGGUCCUGAAUUAGGGGGGCCUUUGUACAUACAGGCACCAGAACAUUCUUCCAGAGCUUCACUGGAGCCUUCCUCUUCAGCAUGACCGUCCCUGGCCACCUGAUCCAGAGCUGGCGGCUCCCAGGCAUAGCCCAUCCCUGCUGCGGCUCUGCACUGCCCCAGUCCUCACCUGCAUGCAGGGGACUAUUCACAUGCUGACCGUCUGUCCAUCUCCCGUAAGAACGUCGGCUCCUUCCACGUCUGCUGGGCGUGGAGGAUCCCUCACAGCCUCCCCGACCUCAGAGCCAUGAGAGACUUGCAAAGCUUGAAACAAACUCUGAAAGGACUCUUCACAGAUAAAUUCCUCCAGGUGCAUGUUUCAAACAAUUUUAUUAUCUAACCCAAGAGUAAGUUAGCAAUCGAUUUCCUAAUCUUUAUUGAUUGGCAGUGGGCAGGCUAGUGUGAUUAAAGAUGUGAGAGAGACUUGCCAAAUAAAAUGCAUGAGCAGCCUUCAUGAGCUUAGCUCCAAUGUGCAGAGUGAUAGGGUCAGGGAAGUGUGUGUAUGUGUGCAUGAUUGUGUGAGAUCAGGGUAGUGUGUGUGUGUGUGUGUGUGUGUGACAUCAGGGCAGUGGGUGUGUGAGAGAGAUCAGGGCAGUGUGUAUGUGUAUGUGUGAGAUCAGGGCAGUGUGCGUGUGUGUGUGUGUGUGACAUCAGGGCAGUGUGUCUGUGUGCAUGAGUGUGUGAGAUCAGGGCAGUGUGUGUGCAUGAGUGUGAUAUCAGGGCAGUAUGUGUGUGUCUGUGUGUGUGUGUAUGAUAUCAGGGCAGUGUGUGUGUGUCUGUGUGUGAGGUUAGGGCAGUGUGUGUUUGUGUGCAUGAGUGUGUGAGAUCAGGACAGUAUGUGAGAGAGAGAGAUCAGGGCAAAGGGCAGUGUUUGUGUGAGAUUAGGGCAGAGUGUGUGUGUGUGUGUAUGAGAUCAGGGCAGUGUGUGUGUGUGUGCAUGAGUGUGUGAGAUCAGGGUAGUGUGUGUGUGUGACAUCAGGGCAGUGUUUGUGUGUUUGUGUGAGAUCAGGGCAGUGUGUGUGUGUGCACGAGUGUGUGAGAUCACGGAAGUGUGUGUGUCAGGUCACCACAGUGUAUGUGCGGGUAUGCGUGUGUGUGUGCACAGGGAACACACGGACAGCCAUUCCAAGUACACACUCUCCUUGGGUAAAUCUGUGAGUAAUCAUUGCUCCAGCAGUGAGAGCCCGUGAGGGUGGUGCAGGAAGACUGUGGCCUGCCUCCUGAGGGAAGCAUUAAAAAAACAGUCAAAGGAAAACGAACUCAGCUCUCCCAGGGUGGAGGACGUGGAGGUGGGCAGCCAGGGAACAAAUCUGGUUGCUGCGAGCCUGUCAGAAAGGGCCCUAGUGCCCUGCCAGGAGGAAGGACUCUGGGCCAUGAGCAUGAUGGUCUUUGAAGGCCAGGAGAGCUAGCCUACCCCAGCUCUGCCACUAACUGUGCGACUCACGGUCACAUGAUGAUACCUCCUGGGCCCCAUAUACUUUAUCUGCAAAUGGGAAGAAGCACAGCCUCUGUGUCCACAGUGCUGUUGAGGUUGGAUCGGGGCUAACUGGCAAUCAGACAUGUGUCUAUAAAUGCCGGCGAGCCAGGCAGAGCCCAGGCCUGAGAGUCCACCAGGGUGGCAGGCCUUAAUCCGCGCUGCACAGAUCUGU